UGCGAGCUAAAUGCAAGUCGACGUAAAAGCUUGCUCUGAGACGCGACGGUAGUAAUGCCUAGGAAUCUGCUGAUAGUGGGGAUAACGUUCGGAAACGGACGCUAAUACCGCAUACGACCUNGCCUUGCGCUAUCAGAUGAGCCUAGGUCGGAUUAGCUAGUUGGUGAGGUAAUGGCUCACCAAGGCGACGAUCGUA
rnacentral:rRNA from 1 species